AUAACAAUACAGGACUCUUUAGAGGCCCUGUAAUUGGAAUAAGUCCACUUGAAAUCCUUUAACUAUGAUCAAUUGCAGGGCAAGUCUGGUGCAUGCUGCAGCUGAAACUCCACUAUCG